CCACAUUCAAGAAACCUCGCCGAGUGAUUACACUGGGAUCGGCGAGUUCCGCACAAACAUCGGCGAGUUCAGUACCUAAAUCGCCGAUGUUGCCCCUAAACUCGGGGGCUGAAGUUGAAGUGGUUCCACCUAUUCAAGUGGUGGAUGUUGACAGGCCGGAUGAUGAAUCUGAGAGGCCGAAGAAGAGAAAGAGGAAGCACCCUAAACAUGCUAGGGAUUCUUCCGAUAAGCCCGAC
rnacentral:lncRNA from 1 species